AUUGAACGCUGGCGGCAGGCCUAACACAUGCAAGUCGAGCGAGCGGCGGACGGGUGAGUCAUGUCUGGGAAACUGCCUGAUGGCGGGGGAUAACUACUGGAAACGGUAGCUAAUACCGCAUACCAUCAGAUGUGCCCAGAUGGGAUUAUCUAGUAGGUGGGGUAACGGCUCACCUAGGCGACGAUCCCUAGCUGGUCUGAGAGGAUGACCAGCCAGACUGGAAAUGAGACACGGUCCAGACGCCGACGUGAGGCAGCAGUGGGGAAUAUGGCACAAUGGGCGCAAGCCUGAUGCAGCCAUGCCGCGGGUGUGAAGAAGGCCUUCGGGUUGUAAAGCACUUUCAGCGGGGAGGCGUUACCCGCAGAAGAAGCACCGGCUAACUCCGUGCCAGCAGCCGCGGUAAUUC
rnacentral:rRNA from 1 species